rnacentral:lncRNA from 1 species
CUUAAUGAAGAAGAAGAGAGCAGAACUCAGGGUUUUACUAUAGCCAAGAAAAACAAUGUGGCUCAGUCGAUAUCAUAUCGUGAAUAGGCUUGCAUUUAAGGGAAUUAAGAAAGCACAUUUAGUAGCCCGUCCUAUUUGAAGCCUCUGGUCUGUUAGAAACACCUGGGCUCUCUCCUUGGCACAGAGCCUUGAGGGUGGCCCCUUUCUUCCUGAGGCCAAGGCCCGGCCUGCCUGUCUUAACAGCUCUUAGUUUUCUCUCUUUCUGCUCUAAUCUCCACCUCCCAGUACACAUUGUUCCCCUCAGAACCUCAAGCAAACCUAUCUUAAGGGGUAUCAAUUCAGCCGGGAGACUUUAAGACCUACGGGCAUAAUGCUUUCAUACACUGCCUUUCCUCAGAGCUCUGUCCCAUUAUUACCAAGAGCCACCUCAAGCCAAACUCAAAAGUUGGGGCAAACCAAAGGUUCAAAGCUCACACAGUGCAUGAACUGUCUCCAGGAGCCUGAAUUCUCCAUCCUGUUUUUAGCUCUGAUCCAUCUCAGGCCCAGCAGAUGCCGUAGUGAUGAUCACUAUAAUUUCAUGGGAAAGAUACAGGAAACCCAACAAUAACAGCAAUAAUUCAGCAGCCUAGCAGAUGCCAGAUCUCAUUUGUGCUUCACCCUUAGCAUGACUGAUGAUACACACUAUCAGAGCAAAAGAAUGUUCAUCUGUGGCAAAAGACCUUUAGCACAUUUCCUGUAACCUCCAAUUUGCAGCAAGUUGAGUUCCAGUUGGUGGGAGUUACAGCAGCCUCUGAGGUGGUGGAGGGUGGCAGCAGGACAGUGAGCUGAGGGCCAACCCCUGUGCCCAAGUGUGCUGCUCUCCUCAACUCCAUGUGCACCAGGGAACAGCCAUUCUCUGCAGGCUGAUUUGAUCUGGAACCACAAUUGAGUCUAGUUCUGGAAUCUCAGACACAUGGAGAACUACACCUUGUCUCCAGUUGCUACAAGUCAAGUCCACCUGCAUGCAGACAGCUGUAAUUGUCUUGUAAAAUUAGAAAACAGAACAGGGACAACAGUAUUAUCUAUAUUGACUAUAGAUUAAUUAUUCAUUUGCAUUCUUUGUCUUUUGUACUUAUAAAUAUGAAAUUUGUAUAUAAACGUGUGUUUUACAACAUAAGAUACAGAUCUAUAUAUAUAUAUCUUUGAAAGAUUAUUCUCUCUGCUCUUUGACCUAAAUUUCCAGAUGGAAUCAUCCUGUGUACAGUAACCUGUGUCUGAAAAUUUCUGUCCACUUAGAGUAAUGAAGGCAUGGGGUCAUAAUGAGAGCAACAAAAAAGUUACACUUUACACUGUGAAAGACUGUCACCUUAUUGUUCAUUUACUUAA